UCCGCCGAAUGAUCAAGGGUUCCAGGGUCAAGCUAAUCUGCCCUGGGUGAGUCGGGACCUAAGGCGAGGCCGACAGGCGUAGUCGAUGGACAACGGGUUGAUAUUCCCGUACCGGCGAAGAACCGCCCCUACUGAUCCGGGGAUACUAACCACCCCAACCGGUCACCGGGUACCCUUCGGGGUGCCCACCGAUCGUGCGGCGUGGGACCUGAUCCGGGGAGGUAAGCGUAUUAACAGGUGUGACGCAGGAAGGUAGCCAGGCCGGGCGAUGGUUGUCCCGGUCCAAGCAGGUAGGCUGUCCCAUUGGCAAAUCCGUGGGGCGUGACGGCCGAGACGUGAUGGGACCCCCUCUCGGGGGAAUCUGGUGAUCCUCUGCUGCCGAGAAAAGCAUCGACGCGAGGUUCUAGCCGCCCGUACCCGAAACCGACACAGGUGAUCAGGUAGAGAAUACCAAGGCGAUCGAGAGAAUUAUGGUUAAGGAACUCGGCAAAAUGCCCCCGUA
rnacentral:ncRNA from 2 species